rnacentral:rRNA from 1 species
AAGAGACAGCAGUCGCCGCGGUAAUACGGAGGGUGCAAGCGUUAUCCGGAUUUAUUGGGUUUUAAGGGUCCGUAGGCGGACUUAUAAGUCAGUGGUGAAAGCCUGUCGCUUAACGAUAGAACUGCCAUUGAUACUGUAAGUCUUGAGUAUAUUUGAGGUAGCUGGAAUAAGUAGUGUAGCGGUGAAAUGCAUAGAUAUUACUUAGAACACCAAUUGCGAAGGCAGGUUACCAAGAUAUAACUGACGCUGAGGGACGAAAGCGUGGGUAGCGAACAGGAUUAGAUACCCCGGUAGUCCCUGUCUCUUAUAC